GAAACUGAACCAUGAGCCCUCUAUGAAGCCAUGCUUCUUUUAAGUGACUUAGAAAUGACUUCCUCCUACAGCUCAUAACUGGCCACGGGGCUUCCUACUCAACUUCAAAAUAAAAUCCAAAAACGUCACCCCCACGCCUUUCAAGACAGGACUUCCUCCCACUUUCCCUUCCGCCCAGGCGCUGCAGGAGCUUCCGUAGUUCCUCCAACAGCAUCCCACCUCACAGCCACCCGAGGGAAGCUGGUCCUCCUCCCUCCGCCCCUGGGUUUCUCGCUCCCUCCCUAAAGAGGUCACCAGCUGCCCAGGCCAUUCCCUGCAAGUUUCUGCCUCUCCUAUAAGUCCCAUGCUUGUGCAGGCAAGAUGGAAUUUGCAAGAAGACACUGGGCCCAGUUUGUCAGAAGCAAAGACAGAGUGAGGGCAACAGGCUUCCCUGAAUCCAGAACACGGCAUUCCAGGGCAAGGAGUGCAGAAAGCACCAGGGCUUCUCAUGUCACGCUGUGCAGAAGAGGAUCCGGGAGAUGUUUUAGUCACUUUCCUCAUUGCUGCAACAAAAUACCUGGCAAAGGCAACUUCAGGAAGGACAGUUAUCUUGGUUAACAGCUCUAGAGUCCAGUCCAUCAGACAGUGGCAACAGAAGUUGAGGAUGCUGGCCAUAUUGUAUCCACAGCCAGGAAGCAGAGAGAGAUGAAGUGCUCAGCCUCCCUCCCCUCCCCCUCUUUAGAUUCAGUACAAGACUCCAGCUUGUGGAAUGAAGCUACCUACAUUUAAGGAGAGCCUACUCUCCUCACUUAAACCUUUCUGGGGGCUGGAGAGAUGGUUCAGCGGUUAAGAGCACCGACUACUCUUCCAAAGGUUGUGAGUUCAAAUCCCAGCAACCACAUGGUGGCUCACAACCAUCUGUAACAAGAUCUGACCUCUCUUCUGGAGUGUCUGAAGGCAGCUACAAUGCACUCACAUAUAAUAAAUAA